rnacentral:rRNA from 1 species
UACGUAGGGGGCAAGCGUUGUCCGGAAUCAUUGGGCGUAAAGAGCGUGUAGGCGGCCUGAUAAGUCGGCUGUGAAAGUCAAGGGCUCAACCCUUGAAUGCCGGCCGAUACUGUCAGGCUAGAGUCCGGAAGAGGCGAGUGGAAUUCCUGGUGUAGCGGUGAAAUGCGCAGAUAUCAGGAGGAACACCUAUGGCGAAGGCAGCUCGCUGGGACGGUACUGACGCUGAGACGCGAAAGCGUGGGGAGCGAACAGGA